GACUCUGUAGCUCAGUUGGUUCGAGCAGCGCUGCACCCGAAUUGCAGGGACGCAGGUUCAAUUCCUGCCAGGAACA
rnacentral:tRNA from 1 species